UACAGGGGGGGCAAGCGUUGUUCGGAAUUACUGGGCGUAAAGGGUUCGUAGGUGGCUUACUAAGUCAAACGUGAAAUCCCUCAGCUUAACUGGGGAACUGCGUCUGAUACUGGAAAGCUUGAGUGCAGGAGAGGAACGCGGAAUUCCAGGUGUAGCGGUGAAAUGCGUAGAGAUCGGGAGGAACACCGGUGGCGAAGGCGGUCUUCUGGACGGUGACUGACACUGAGGCGCGAAAGCGUGGGGAGCAAACAGG
rnacentral:rRNA from 1 species